rnacentral:rRNA from 1 species
UACGGAGGGUGCAAGCGUUGUUCGGAAUUACUGGGCGUAAAGGGCGCGUAGGCGGUCUGUUAAGUUCGGUGUGAAAGCCCCCGGCUCACCUGGGGAACUGCGCCGGAAACCGACAGACUCGAGUACCGGAGAGGAGGGUGGAAUUCCUGGUGUAGCGGUGAAAUGCGUAGAUGUCAGGAGGAACACCGGUGGCGAAGGCGGCCCUCUGGACGGAUACUGACGCUGAGGCGCGAAAGCGUGGGGAGCAAACAGG